UCGAGAAUCUUCGGCAAUGGGCGCAAGCCUGACCGAGCGACGCCGCGUGGAGGACGAAGGCCUUCGGGUUGUAAACUCCUGUCGAGGGGGAAGAAGGUCCGCAAGGACUUGACUGAUCCCUGGAGGAAGCACGGGCUAAGUUCGUGCCAGCAGCCGCGGUAAGACGAACCGUGCGAACGUUAUUCGGAAUCACUGGGCUUAAAGCGCGUGUAGGCGGGACGGCACGUCGGUCGCUGAAAUCCCCCGGCUCAACCGGGGAACGGGCGCCGAUACGACCGCCCUGGAGGGGCGUAGGGGGACCUGGAACUUCCGGUGGAGCGGUGAAAUGCGUUGAGAUCGGAAGGAACGCCCGUGGCGAAAGCGAGGUCCUGGACGCCUACUGACGCUGAGACGCGAAAGCCAGGGGAGCGAACGGGAUUAGAUACCCGGUAGUCC
rnacentral:rRNA from 1 species